UUCAUAAUUUCAAUUCAAUAUAUUCAUUAACUUAAUAAAUUUAUAAUGAGUAUUUAUUUUUGAUUUGUUCUUAACGAUUACUACUACAUAUAUUUAUUCCUGGUUAGAAUUUUUUGUUCUUGUUUUCUUUGAGAAAAAUUUCUCAGCUGUGUUCAAAAUUUUUCUGAUGGGUGGUAGGAGUGUGUAACGUUACAAACGUCACAUCUUUGCUAUUUUAUUUUCAAAUAAUUAUUUUAUUCUAUUUUCUUUAAUAAUAAUCCUCUUCUAUUUGUUUUACCUUUUUUCCCGUUAAAAAAUGGUUGGCGCCCUCUCUCGGUAUUUAUAGGCAUAUCUCAACAUUCUUGUUCUAUCUCAGAAUUCACAUUCUUAUUCAAUCGUUCUGUGGUUCAUGACAGUGACUUCGCACUGUCGUUUCUCUUUCAAAUUUUAAGCCCCCACUCACCAACUCUGUCAAUGUCAAGUGAACCCUUCUCUUUGUCAAAAUGAAGAAUAUUUUUUAUUUUAAUUCUAAAAUCUACUUAAGGCAAUGUCUGGCCUCAUAGCCACAUUUUCAAACAGACGUUCUUAAUUGGGUUUUCUGGACAAAUAAGAAUCUUCACCGGACAACCCUUCACCUCGUGGGAGGACUCCCUGAACCUGGAGCCCCCAAUAUCGCCGGCGAUGCUACAGUAAUUUAGUAUAUACACCACACCAUCAACCAACACCUGUAGGCCUGGUGGCCAGAACAUCCACGUCGCCAGAGCCCGUUGCAGAACAACAGCAAGACACCAAGAACCUGCAGACAGAUACCAAGUGCCAUCGAUAAGUAUAAUCUCUGAUCUGUAAAGUUUCGGCAAGGUCUUUUAAAUUAUUUUUUUUAAUACAUUAAUUAUGUCUUUUAUGAAAAAUAAACAUGAUUAGUUAAA